rnacentral:rRNA from 1 species
GCCGUGGGCGAGGCUACCAUGCAGUCGAACGGUAACAGGAAGCAGCUUGCUGCUUUGCUGACGAGUGGCGGACGGGUGAGUAAUGUCUGGGAAACUGCCUGAUGGAGGGGGAUAACUACUGGAAACGGUAGCUAAUACCGCAUAACGUCGCAAGACCAAAGAGGGGGACCUUCGGGCCUCUUGCCAUCGGAUGUGCCCAGAUGGGAUUAGCUAGUAGGUGGGGUAACGGCUCACCUAGGCGACGAUCCCUAGCUGGUCUGAGAGGAUGACCAGCCACACUGGAACUGAGACACGGUCCAGACUCCUACGGGAGGCAGCAGUGGGGAAUAUUGCACAAUGGGCGCAAGCCUGAUGCAGCCAUGCCGCGUGUAUGAAGAAGGCCUUCGGGUUGUAAAGUACUUUCAGCGGGGAGGAAGGCGACAGGGUUAAUAACCCUGUCGAUUGACGUUACCCGCAGAAGAAGCACCGGCUAACUCCGUGCCAGCAGCCGCGGUAAUACGGAGGGUGCAAGCGUUAAUCGGAAUUACUGGGCGUAAAGCGCACGCAGGCGGUCUGUCAAGUCGGAUGUGAAAUCCCCGGGCUCAACCUGGGAACUGCAUU